GAAGCAGGAAAAAAUGGAACAAAUAUCCAAGAACACAGACAUGGCCAACAAAAGUGCUACACCAAUUACACACGUCUCUAUGCCCCAAUAAUAAUCGAAAGUGACUCGGAAGCGUCCGAUGAUAGCAGACAACAUGUUCAAGAAGAAAGCACAGAUGUAUUAACUUCUGCAGACAUUGUGUCAGAUCUCUCAUUGAAGAUAAUAAAAACAUCUUGCAGCAGAUUCAACAUAAAUAGAGCCGAUGUUUGGGAUGGAGCAAUUCGUGGAUUCAGACGUGCAUCAUACAACCCAUCACACGACAUGCUUGUUAAAUUCACAGAUGACGAAGGCACAA